rnacentral:rRNA from 1 species
AAAACAACUUUUAACAACGGAUCUCUAGGCUCUCGCAUCGAUGAAGAACGUAGCAAAUUGCGAUAACUAUUGUGAAUUGCAUCUCGUGAAUCAUCAAGUUUUUGAACGCAUCUUGCACUCUUUGGUAUUCCAAAGAGUACACUUGUUUCAGUA